rnacentral:rRNA from 1 species
AGCGAACGCUGGCGGCGUGCUUAACACAUGCAAGUCGAGGGAGAACGGAGGGCUUCGGCCUUCUUAGUAAACCGGCGCACGGGUGAGUAACACGUAGGUAACCUACCUCCGAGUUCGGGAUAACCUGUCGAAAGAUAGGCUAAUACCGGAUAAGACCACGAUGGCUUCGGCCACUGCGGUCAAAGAUGGCCUCUAUUUAUAAGCUAUCGCUUGGGGAUGGGCCUGCGCACCAUUAGCUAGUUGGUGAGGUAAUGGCUCACCAAGGCUACGAUGGUUAGUUGGUCUGAGAGGAUGACCAGCCACACUGGGACUGAGACACGGCCCAGACUCCUACGGGAGGCUGCAGUCGAGAAUCUUCCGCAAUGGGCGAAAGCCUGACGGAGCGACGCCGCGUGGAGGACGAAGGCCUCGGUUGUAACUACCUGUCACGAGUUAAGAAGGACGCAUGUGCGAAC